UUACGGCCAUAUCACGUUGAAACACCGCUUCUCGUCUGAUCAUCGAAGUUAAGCAACAACGAUCCUGUUCAGGACCUAAAUGGGUGACCUCUUGAAAAUACCAGAUGCUGUAA